ACGCUCGACACCUACGGGAGGCAGCAGUGGGAAUAUUGCACAAUGGGGGAAACCCUGAUGCAGCGACGCCGCGUGGAGGAAGAAGGUCUUCGGAUUGUAAACUCCUGUUGUUGGGGAAAAAGAGGAUGGUACCCAACAAGGAAGUGACGGCUAACUACGUGCCGGCAGCCGCGGUAAUCUGAGCGGGCUGGCAAGGC
rnacentral:rRNA from 1 species